rnacentral:rRNA from 1 species
AACGAACGUUGGCGGCGUGGAUUAGGCAUGCAAGUCGAACGAAUCCCAACUUUGUAGCAAUACCGAGUUGGGGGAAGUGGCGAAAGGGGCAGUAAUGCGUGGGUAAUCUACCUCGGGGACGUGGAUAGCCAUUCUAACGAGUGGGUAAUACGCGGCGAUUUGGUUGAGGGGCAUCCCUUGGCCAGGAAAUGAAUUUCGCCUCGAGAGGAACUCACGUGAUAUUAGCUUGUUGGCGGGGUAACGGCCCACCAAGGCAAAGAUGUCUAGCGGGUGUGAGAGCACGACCCGCGCCACUGGCACUGAGACACUGGCCAGACACCUACGGGUGGCUGCAGUCGAGGAUCUUCGGCAAUGGGCGCAAGCCUGACCGAGCGACGCCGCGUGCGCGAUGAAGGCCUUCGGGUUGUAAAGCGCUGUCGAGGGGGAGGAAGCCGAAAGGUUGACCUAUCCCUGGAGGAAGGACGGGCUAAGUUCGUGCCAGCCGCCGCAGUAAAAC